UGUACCGGACGGAAGAUGAAUAUCAGAUUCUGUUGCAUUGUACUAGUAGUACUACUUUGUCUUUCUGUAGACAAUGUUAUAUGUAUCAAGAUUACGAGGAGACGCAAUAGUAAAUUCAAACAAGCAGUUUUACACGAUGAUAUCGUGACUGAAGAAAUAGAUGUGAGCCAGUUGUUCGAUUCUGUGGACUAGCAAGCAGGAAUGAAUAACAAAAUUUUGCUUCGUUCAACUCUGGUCGGACUCAUUCAAUCCAUUUCAUCCUCGAUUUUAUCAUGAAUCCUUGUUUGUUUGUACAUGAAUUAACCUUAAAUCUCAAAUACAUUCAUCGAACCCGACACUAAUAUUUCAGUUGCUACGAAAAUAAUAAACAUGUAACCAAAACCAA